UGGGGAAUAUUGCACAAUGGGCGCAAGCCUGAUGCAGCCAUGCCGCGUGUGUGAAGAAGGCCUUCGGGUUGUAAAGCACUUUCAGCGAGGAGGAAGGUGGUGAACUUAAUACGUUCAUCAAUUGACGUUACUCGCAGAAGAAGCACCGGCUAACUCCGUGCCAGCAGCCGCGGUAAUACGGAGGGUGCAAGCGUUAAUCGGAAUUACUGGGCGUAAAGCGCACGCAGGCGGUUUGUUAAGUCAGAUGUGAAAUCCCCGGGCUCAACCUGGGAACUGCAUUUGAAACUGGCAAGCUAGAGUCUCGUAGAGGGGGGUAGAAUUCCAGGUGUAGCGGUGAAAUGCGUAGAGAUCUGGAGGAAUACCGGUGGCGAAGGCGGCCCCCUGGANGAAGACUGACGCUCAGGUGCGAAAGCGUGGGGAGCAAACAGAUUAGNUACCCUGGUAGUCCACGCUGUAAACGAUGUCGAUUUUGGAGGUUGUGCCCUGAGGCGUGGNUUCCGGAGCUAACGNGUUAAAUCGACCGCCNGGGGAGUA
rnacentral:rRNA from 1 species